AGAGUAUAGCUCAGUGGUAGAGCGUGUGCUUAGCGUGCACGAGGUCUUGGGUUCCGUCCCCAGUACCUCCA
rnacentral:tRNA from 1 species